UACGGGGGGGGGCAAGCGUUGUUCGGAUUCAUUGGGCGUAAAGGGUGCGUAGGCGGCGCGGUAAGUCGGGUGUGAAAUUUCGAGGCUUAACUUCGAAACUGCAUUCGAUACUGCCGUGCUUGAGGACUGGAGAGGAGACUGGAAUUUACGGUGUAGCGGUGAAAUGCGUAGAUAUCGUAAGGAAGACCAGUGGCGAAGGCGGGUCUCUGGACAGUUCCUGACGCUGAGGCACGAAGGCCAGGGGAGCAAACGGG
rnacentral:rRNA from 1 species